CAAAUGGCCAGAGAGAUUACACAACUGCAUCAAAGCAGGAGAGAACAUCUUUGAGUGAUCAAUCUAAUAUUUUUAAUUUAUAUAAUAUCUUAAAGAAUUAGUAAAUUUAUUUUUAAAUAAAAAAAUUAAAUAAACUAUUUCAAAAAUUGUGAAAUAUAUAGAUCUAUGUAGAAGUUUUUUUAAUGCUGUUUGAUAAAAUUCUGUUUUCCUUCCAUCAUUAAAGAAUUAGGAUAAUGCCUGAUUGAUCUAGUAGGCCAAUACCGCUCUGCAUUAAGAUCAACAGUAUAAACUUCAAUACGUUUUCUAAAAAUAAACAUCUCUAUUUAUCAUUACAGUUUUUUUUUUAUAUUCCACAUGUUGACAUAUUCGAUCCAAGGUAAUCUUUUCCUUAUAUACAGUAAGAGGUGUUUUAGCAAACGCUGGAGGUGCCUCACGUCACUCAGUCUAAUUUACCAUCUGCUUCGACGUACAAAAGAUUCCUUCUUUCAGUUCGCUUCAGUCAGCCUCUUGAUAACCUCCACUUGGUCGGUGCCUGUUUACAUUGCACGACGAGCACCUCCCCUCUUACAACCGAUUCAUUGUCUGUAUUAUUCGAGGAAAAUGUGACGUCACCACUAUAACAGCAAAAAAGGAAGUAUUACUCGAAUUUCACUUGUUUUAAUAACUUACUUCCUUGAUUUAGCUGAUUUAUGAUGUAACGGCUAAAAACUGUAUUCCGACAUCUGUUAAGAAAGCGAAUGAACAAAUUUAUCAACCUAAUAUUAUUUUUAAAGCAAUUUGAAUACCGCGUAUUGUGUGACUUAAAAUAAAAAGGAAAAUUGCUUUACGGAAGCCCUAUAUAUUUUUUAUUUUUAUUUUUUAGAUAUCGCCACACGAUCUGUAAAAAAAACCCGUCCCCGAAAGCUUUCAAUUAGAAGGAGUUAAAAUAAACAAACAAGUAAAAGUAAAUAAAUAGUCGGAAAUUAUUUACCGGUGUGUGUGUGUGUGUGUGUGUG
rnacentral:lncRNA from 1 species